AGCGAACGCUGGCGGCAUGCCUUACACAUGCAAGUCGAACGGUAACAGGUUAAGCUGACGAGUGGCGAACGGGUGAGUAAUGUAUCGGAACGUGCCCAGUCGUGGGGGAUAACUACUCGAAAGAGUGGCUAAUACCGCAUACGACCUGAGGGUGAAAGCGGGGGACCGUAAGGCCUCGCGCGAUUGGAGCGGCCGAUAUCAGAUUAGCUAGUUGGUGGGGUAAAAGCCCACCAAGGCGACGAUCUGUAGCUGGUCUGAGAGGACGACCAGCCGCACGGGGACUGAGACACGGCCCAGACUCCUACGGGAGGCAGCAGUGGGGAAUUUUGGACAAUGGACGCAAGUCUGAUCCAGCCAUGCCGCGUGCGGGAAGAAGGCCUUCGGGUUGUAAACCGCUUUUGUCAGGGAAGAAACGAGUUUCUCUAAUACAGAGACUUAAUGACGGUACCUGAAGAAUAAGCACCGGCUAACUACGUGCCAGCCGCCGCAGUAACAC
rnacentral:rRNA from 1 species